GCACUGCCGAGGAGUCCCACAAUAGGACGAAACGGGUGUCCAGUGC
rnacentral:hammerhead_ribozyme from 1 species